UAUGCUGACCAAAUUCAAAACUGGGGUUGGAUCUGGAACAUUCAUUCUCAAGCUUCAAGAUCAUUUACCAGGAACUUAAAUCUGAUUCACAAGCAACCAACAUCAGUCACACUUCUUGCGGAUCUGGUGUUUCACGAGAUGGACUGGAGCUGAUGGGAGAAAUAUAUGCGACCUCAAAAUACUGCCAUUUAGACGAUAUACAUGCUUUUGCAGCAAGAGUUGGCUUUACAGGAGAGGCCCUGAGCUCUAUUUCUGACGUUUCUUUGUUGGAAAUUGUUACUAAAGCUCACGGAAGGCCACAUGGAAUUGUAAGGUUUUGAAAGUAGGGUUCUUUUGAGAUUUAGUUGAUAGUAUCUAUUAUGAUAGGUAUAAAACUACUAAUUUGGUCUUGGUUCUUGCCAUUGUUUACAAGACGGCAAGUGUUUGUACCUUGGAGUUGAUGAUUAUAGUCAAGAUGUUGGUACAAUAGUCAUUGUUCGUGAUGUAUUUUAGAACCAACCGGUUCGAAGGAAGCAAAUGAGCAAAUGCACUCCAAGUACUUUCAGUU